GGGAAGUUAUGGGUAGAAAAUGUGCCACGUCUUCUAGGAAGGGGGAGCCCUCAACUUGCGAGAGACUAUUGUCCCUAAGCCUUUAACUACAUUCUUAACUCUAUGAAGUCAAGGGCCCUUUUUCUAUUUUCGUAGGGACUUUGUCCCGCUUCAGCAACAUGAAGCUUUUCUUGUGGAACGCGGUCUUGAUGCCAUUAGUUACUUCUUUGAUUGGGGCUCUCAUCCCUGAACCAGAAGUGAAAAUUGAAGUUCUCCAGAAGCCAUUCAUCUGCCAUCGAAAAACCAAGGGAGGUGAUUUGAUGUUGGUCCACUAUGAAGGCUACUUAGAAAAGGAUGGCUCUUUAUUUCACUCCACUCACAAACAUAACAAUGGUCAACCCAUUUGGUUUACCCUGGGCAUCCUGGAGGCUCUGAAAGGUUGGGACCAGGGUUUGAAAGGAAUGUGUGUAGGAGAGAAGAGAAAGCUCAUCAUUCCUCCUGCCCUGGGCUAUGGAAAAGAAGGAAAAGGUAAAAUUCCUCCAGAGAGUACACUGAUAUUCAACAUUGAUCUCCUGGAGAUUCGAAAUGGACCAAGAUCCCAUGAAUCAUUCCAAGAAAUGGACCUUAAUGAUGACUGGAAACUCUCCAAAGAUGAGGUUAAAGUGUAUUUAAAGAAGGAGUUUGAGAAGCAUGGUGCAGUGGUGAAUGAAAGUCAUCAUGAUGUUUUGGUGGAGGACAUUUUUGAUAAAGAAGAUGAAGACAAAGAUGGAUUUAUAUCUGCCAGAGAAUUUACAUAUAAACAUGAUGAGUUAUAGAGAUAUGUCUACCCAUUUUAUAUCCAUCUUUAAGAGAGGAUAAUCAACUUUAAAGAAAGUUUUAAUUUUUAACAAUGUUCUUGCUUUGCUUUUUUAUUUUUAUGUAUUUUUUCUGACUCGUAUGUAAGAACCCCUUAGGGUUUCAAAGUAUCCGUUUCUUUCUAGUAAGUUAUUGGGAAGAAAAACCUAAUAUGAAUAGAAGACUUCCACUUUUAUAAAUGAAGAUUUGUUUUACUUUUUUAGUUGUCAUUUACAAAUAUUGCAAUGGCAGCAUACCAUAACACGAGAUCAAGUUAGAGCACAACUCAGCACCCUGCAUUUCUGCCUCCCUCUACUUUCUCCAAGGUAGAGACUGACAUAUUUGAAAAGCCUUUUGUAAUAGCCCAAAGCUGGCUAUUUUGAUGUUAUAAUGAAAUAGUUUACUUUACCUGCCUUUGCAUCUUGAGGACAAAAGGAGAAUGGUAUUGGACUUUACUUGGUAACAGCUACUGCUUUACUAAAGAGAUGUGCAAUGCUGAAGUUGGUAACAAAAUUAAUAACUUAUAUAAAUAUGUAUGCAUUGAAACAUUCUGCCUAGGACUUAAGCUGCAUACAAUACAGCUCCUAGUAACUAAUGGCCUGUUAUGUGUUUGUUUCUUUGUAAUAAAAUGUAUCAAAAUAUUAUAGACAAGAUAGAGAGUAGUAUUUAUACUCAAACUUUAUUUUAAAUCUAGCAGAUUACCUUCCUAGUUCUUAAAAGAUGAAGUCUGUAACUAAGGUAUUAUCGUAUAAUAAUAUUGCAUUAUAAGAGAAAUUAGUAAGCCAGUUAAAAAUUUUCCCUUUUCAGGGUGGUGCCUGUGGCUCAACAGGGUAGAGCGCCAGUCCCAUAUGCCAGAGGUGGCGGGUUCAAGCCCAGCCCUGGCCAAAAAAAAAAAAAAAAAAAUUUCCCUUUUCUGCCGCAUCUAAAAAUGAGCAAACUGGGUCCGGUGCAGUGGCUCAGCCCUGUUAUCCUAGCACUCUGGGAGCCCAGGCAGGUGGAUUGCCUGAGCUCAUGGGUUUGAGAUCACCCUGAGUCAGGGCCAGACCCCAUCUCUAAAAAAAUAGCCAGGUGUGUGGUGGGUGCCUGUAGUCCCAGCUACUUGAGAGACUGAGGCAAGAGAAUCACUUAAGCCCAAGAGUUUGAGGUUGCUGUGAGCUGUGGUACCACGGUACAGUACUGAGGGUGACAAAGUGAGACCCUGUCUGUAAAUAAAUAAGAGCAAACCUAUAGUAGCUAUAUUGAAUAGCUACUCCGAAGUCUAUGAAAAAAGCUGAUGGAUCUUACUGGAGCUAUUUCACAGAUGAGGAAAUUAUCAUUCAAAGAGAUUGUCACGCCCAGUGUCAACAGCACCUAUAGAGCCGGUUUUCAGUCCCAAGUCCUUUUCUUCCUCCUAAUGAAAAAGUGAGAUUUCUCCUGAACUGUUAGACCUUAUUUUCUCUUCAGUUUGUUCUUCUGUUGUUUGUCUUUGAGUCCUUAUCCUCUGAAGAUGGAUUCAUGACUAUUUUUGGCACAUUAGAAUUCUCCCUAUGAUCCAGGAAUGACCCCAGUUUCAUAGAAUAAUCUUGGGGUUAGCUCUGAAUUGCCUCAAAAUCCUCAAACAAGAGGUUCCAAGUGUGUCUUAGUUCUUUCAUUCCUAUUUACUUGCAUGUUUUUUUUAAACUUACGAACAAGUAUUACAAUUGUAUAUAGACUACUUUUACCCAUUACAUAUUUAUAUGUUUAUAUUUUUCUCACUAAAACGUGGGAAGAAUGUACUAUAAAAUCUCCCUCCAAAGAAAUCAGCAACAUCUUAAAAACUAGGGUGGUGCCUGUGGCUCAAGGAGUAGGGCGCCAGUCCCAUAUGCCGGAGGUGGUGGGUUCAAACCCAGCCCUGGCAAAAAAAAAAAAAAAAAACAUCUUAAAAACUAUAGUAGAACUACUGUAAGGACUAAA